rnacentral:rRNA from 1 species
AUUCCAGCUCCAAUAGCGUAUAUUAAAGUUGUUGCAGUUAAAAAGCUCGUAGUUGGAUUUCUGUUAAUAAUUUAUAUAUAAUAUUUAACAUAUUUAUAUAAUAUUAACAUAAUUCAUAUUACUAUUUAUAGUAUAUGAAACUUUACUUUGAGAAAAUUAGAGUGCUUAAAGCAGGCUUUUGCCUUGAAUACUAGAGCAUGGAAUAAUAUUAAAGAUUUUUAUCUUUCUUAUUGGUUCUAAGAUAGAAAUAAUGAUUAAUAGGGACAGUUGGGGGCAUUUGUAUUUAACAGUUAGAGGUGAAAUUCUUAGAUUUGUUAAAGACAAACUAAUGCGAAAGCAUUUGCCAAGGAUGUUUUCAUUAAUCAAGAACGAAAGUUAGGGGAUCGAAGACGAUCAGAUACCGUCGUAGUCUUAACCAUAAACUAUGCCAACUAGAGAUUGG